rnacentral:rRNA from 1 species
GAUGAACGCUGGCGGCGUGCCUAACACAUGCAAGUCGAACGGAGAUUACGGACGGAAGUUUUCGGAUGGAAGCCUGUAAUUCUUAGUGGCGGACGGGUGAGUAACGCGUGGGCAACCUGCCCUAUACAGGGGGAUAGCAGCUGGAAACGGCUGGUAAGACCGCAUAAGUCGGUUAAAUCGCAUGAUUUGAUCGGGAAAUGAGCAAUCAGGUAUAGGAUGGGCCCGCGUCCGAUUAGCCAGUUGGCAGGGUAAAAGCCUACCAAAGCGACGAUCGGUAGCCGGACUGAGAGGUCGGACGGCCACAUUGGGACUGAGACACGGCCCAAACUCCUACGGGAGGCAGCAGUGGGGGAUAUUGCACAAUGGAGGAAACUCUGAUGCAGCGACGCCGCGUGAGUGAAGAAGUAUUUCGGUAUGUAAAGCUCUAUCAGCAGGGAAGAUGAUGACGUACCUG